rnacentral:rRNA from 1 species
CAGUCGCCGCGGGAAUACGGAGGGUGCAAGCGUUAAUCGGAAUUACUGGGCGUAAAGCGCACGCAGGCGGUCUGACAAGUCAGAUGUGAAAUCCCCGGGCUUAACCUGGGAACUGCAUUUGAAACUGUCAGGCUGGAGUCUUGUAGAGGGGGGUGGAAUUCCAGGUGUAGCGGUGAAAUGCGUAGAGAUCUGGAGGAAUACCGGUGGCGAAGGCGGCCCCCUGGACAAAGACUGACGCUCAGGUGCGAAAGCGUGGGGAGCAAACAGGAUUAGAGACCCCCGUAGUCCCUGUCCCUUAUAC